GAAAUGGGCACUUUUUGGACUGGAGAGAUGACUCAGUGGUUAAGAGCACUGACUGCUCUUCCAGAGGUCCUCAGUUCAAUUCCCAGCAACCACAUGGUGGCUCACAACCAUCUGUAAUGGGAUUUGAUGCCCUCUUCUGGUGUUUGAAGACAGGUACAGUAUACUUAUGUAUAAUAAAUACAUCUUUAAAAAAAAGAGAGAGAGAUUCAUUUAAAAAAAGAGAAAUAGGUACUUUAUCAAUAAGACAUACCUCUACCUAUGCUAUUUUGGGAAUGUGUGUAUUAUUAUAUGUAGUAAAAUACAUGGGUAAAACAUUUUUCGUUCUUCAGAGAUUGGCGUUUAAUGUCUAAAUAUAUAAUUCUGGCUUUUUAUCUAAAUGAGAAUAAACAAAUGUCUUUUAAUCUUUAUAUUGAA
rnacentral:lncRNA from 1 species